rnacentral:lncRNA from 1 species
UUUAAAAAAUAAAUCCAUUUGCUAAACCAGUUUAAACAGUUUAGAUUAUAUACAUAAUUAUUUAUUUCAAAUUGUUAUGACUUUUUGUUUUGUCCUAAAAUAAUUAUAGCUUAUACAAGCUUCUUUGGAAUAGAAUAAAACUAAUUUAUUAAUAUUUUAAAAAUUUAUAAGUAAGAGGUUUAAAAAAUAAUUCUAUUUACGAAAUCAGUUCAAAUAAUUAUAACUAUUUAAACAAUUAUCUAU